UACGGAGGGGGCUAGCGUUGUUCGGAAUUACUGGGCGUAAAGCGCACGUAGGCGGCUUUGCAAGUUAGAGGUGAAAGCCCGGGGCUCAACUCCGGAAUUGCCUUUAAAACUGCAUCGCUAGAAUUGUGGAGAGGUAAGUGGAAUUCCGAGUGUAGAGGUGAAAUUCGUAGAUAUUCGGAAGAACACCAGUGGCGAAGGCGGCUCACUGGCCCGGUACUGACGCUGAGGCACGAAAGCGUGGGGAGCAAACAGG
rnacentral:rRNA from 1 species